ACACGUGUGGUGAAAUGGUAUCAUGCUUGCCUUCCAAGCAAGCGGCUCGGGUUCGAUUCCCGGCGCGUGUA
rnacentral:tRNA from 1 species